rnacentral:snoRNA from 1 species
UUCCACCACAGAUGCAAGGAAAAGAAGGUCCCCGCACUCUCUGUCUGGCUGCUUGAGGCAGCCAAGAUUGAAUGGGGAAUACAUGC